GAAGGCUUAGUUAAAAUAUAACAUUAAUUUGUCAAAUUAAAAUUAAUUACAGUUAGCUUUCU
rnacentral:tRNA from 1 species